UUUUAGAAACAUCAGUGGCCAACGGUCGUCAGGAUCGUUGAGCUGCAUUGGCGGGAUUUCGCCGUCUUCGUUUCUCUUUCUUCGCGGACGAACACGCGCUGGGGCUGCAACCUUGCAGAAUCCCUGGUCCUUGACUGGAUAUGCGUUAGGGGCUUGUAGCUCAGUUGGUUAGAGCGCGCGCUUGAUAAGCGUGAGGUCGGAAGUUCAAGUCUUCCCAGGCCCACCACACUCAUCGAGUGAGCAUUCGUCUUCUGGUUACGGGGCCAUAGCUCAGCUGGGAGAGCGCGUGCUUUGCAAGCAUGAGGUCGUCGGUUCGAUCCCGUCUGGCUCCACCAGAUGGUUUGAUCACCGGCUGCUCAUACCGUCGUCCGCGAAACAUCACUUCGCACUUACUAGUCCGGAUGGACAGUAAGCUGCGUGAUUUCUGACAUCGUAAAGAGGAGAUCGAUCCGAGUUGGAUCGGGCAACAAGUAAUUGUUGCGCGAUACUUCAUUAUCUCCGGAUCAUUUCGGCGCUCGUGCGUCUUCCAUUGUAGCUCACAAGGCUGCUUUGAAAGACAAGCGAGUUGUAAAUGAUCCUUUUAGCGAAGCUUGACCGCCUCGCUAUCGGAACGAUCUUACGAAGCAAGCUGGUCUUUCUAAUCAUUGUCCGGCUGCAGAUAGCGUUCAUCGAGGGCGCGUGCCGCAAGGUAGUUCUGCAGACAACAUUCUGCCGAGUGUGUGGACAUUGAUAAUGAGAGCAAUCAAGUGCCUUAAGGGUGUUCGGUGGAUGCCUUGGCGCUGAGAGGCGAUGAAGGACGUGCUACGCUGCGAUAAGCCGUGGGGAGCUGCGAAGAAGCUUUGAUCCAUGGAUUUCCGAU
rnacentral:misc_RNA from 1 species